GAUCCUGGCUCAGGAUGAACGCUAGCUACAGGCUUAACACAUGCAAGUCGAGGGGCAGCAUGGUCUUAGCUUGCUAAGGCUGAUGGCGACCGGCGCACGGGUGAGUAACACGUAUCCAACCUGCCGUCUACUCUUGGCCAGUCUUCUGAAAGGAAGAUUAAUCCAGGAUGGGAUCAUGAGUUCACAUGUUCGCAUGAUUAAAGGUAAGUUUCGUUCGUACGA
rnacentral:rRNA from 1 species